rnacentral:rRNA from 1 species
CCUACGGGAGGCUGCAGUGAGGAAUAUUGCGCAAUGGAGGCAACUCUGACGCAGCCAUGCCGCGUGCAGGAUGAAGGCGCUACGCGUUGUAAACUGCUUUUAACCGGGAAGAAACCCCAGGACGUGUCCUGGGUUGACGGUACCGGAGGAAUAAGCACCGGCUAACUUCGUGCCAGCAGCCGCGGUAAUACGAAGGGUGCAAGCGUUAUCCGGAUUCAUUGGGUUUAAAGGGUGCGUAGGCGGAGCGUUAAGUCAGUGGUGAAAUCCCGCAGCUCAACUGUGGAAUUGCCAUUGAUACUGGCGCUCUUGAGUGCGGUUGACGUGGGCGGAAUGUGCCGUGUAGCGGUGAAAUGCUUAGAUAUGGCACAGAACACCGAUCGCGAAGGCAGCUCGCGAAGCCGCAACUGACGCUGAGGCACGAAAGCGUGGGGAUCGAACAGGCUUAGAUACCCUGGUAGUC